UAUCUCUCUGUUCCAACAGGUCCGUUGGAUGAUGUACUGGAUUGUGUUUGCUCUCUACACCGUAGUGGAGCCAUCACAGACCUCACUGUAGCCUGGUUCCCCCUGUACUAUGAGAUCAAGAUAGCAUUUGUUAUCUGGUUGCUGUCUCCCUACACCAGAGGAGCCAGUCUCAUCUACAGGAAGUGUCUCCUCAUCUCUACUGUCCUCAAGAGAGAGGGAGAUAGAUGAGUACAUUGUCCAGGCCAAGGAGCGGAGCUAUGAGACCAUGGUGACCUUCGGCAAGCAGGCCUCAGUAUCGCUGCUACUGCAGCUGUCUCCGCAGCUGUCAA